CGUACUUCGGAGUUUAGACUACAAGAAGUCGAUACCGCGGCGAAGAUGACUUUCAAGCGAAGGAACGGCGGUCGCAACAAGCAUGGCCGCGGUCGCGUUAACUUCGUCCGCUGCUCCAACUGCGGAAAGUGCUGCCCCAAGUAACGCAACUCGCGGCUGUUAAUUUCUUCCGGAAGGACAAGGCGAUUAAGAGGUUCCUCGUGAGGAACAUAGUGGAGCAGGCUGCCGUCAGGAAUGUUCAGGAGGCUUGUGCUUAUGAGGGGUACCUUCGUCCAAAAUUAUAUAUCAAGAUGCAGUACUGUGUCUCUUGUGCAAUCCACUCGAAGGUUGUUCGGGUGAGGUCUCGCACGGACAGGAGGAACCGUGAGCCGCCGCAGCGUUUUAGACGCCGGUGAUCCAAUGGUGUAUCAGGUCAUGGCAAUUAUCAUUGGAGUGGAUGCAGGGGCCGCAUAUAUGUGAAUUACCUGAUUCUGUAGGGAAAGGUCUUUCAUGAAUGUUGCAAGUUCAUGGUUCGAUGCGAAAACUAUCCAGGACCGUAAAUGUCAUGGUAUCGCGGUACCGUACAACCCACAGCUCGAAGUCUCCAACAUCAACAAUUACCCCCGUCAACAUGACAAUGAAUGGCUGAAUUCGAAAGUAGUUUGAAGGUCUUAAGCUUUUAGCAGAAAGUUUGUAUCAGUGCGUGUGAUGAUGAGCAUGAACAUUUGAUGCUGCUGCUAACUGGAUUAAAAAUACUGGUUAGCAGUUUCUGUUGACUAAUUAUGUGCGUAUGUUCAUCGGACAUUAUCUUCAGAAAAUGUUUGGAGGUGGUGUUACUGAACAAAUAUGUCGCGGUUGGUGAGUUAGCACGGCUAGAUCCACGAGUCGAUAUCGGGAGCCUACUGCGAAGUGAUCUGGAUGAAGAGGUGGCCGGGCCCUCGGGAGGGAGUGUCGGUUGGCGUUGGUCGGGAUCAGGGCUGAUUAACAACUCCACACUGCCGGGCGGCUGGCGCUCCCGUGUCGAGUCCCUCGCCGUCAACAAGGGGUCGUCCUCCUGCAAAAAUGGUCUUCACCGGGUGGUUCAUGGCUGUGGCCCAUCCAACGAGCAAAGCGGCGUCAAACGGCACCGUCUCGAGCUCCCAAGAUGGGAUGUGUGACAUAUCUUCUUUGUAUGAGCUUCCGGGACGGGACGUGUGGCAUAGGGCUCUGACUUGACGUGUGGUGUCAGCUGUGACGUGUCCAGAUCACCAAAAUAUAUCAUAUCAUGUGGAUGAUCUUGCAAGACCUGGUCAAGGUCCUCGUCCAGUUGCGGCUGGAAAUCCUGCUGCUCGUCCAUGAUGCCGAGGUUUUCUGUGGACUAUAUUGAGAGGAGGGCGUCGAGGAAGUUCGACGCCAAAAAUGGCCCGCCACCGGCGGCACCUUCACCUGCCCCUCCCCGUAAAGUGGCUUCUGACACGAGCACCGAGUUGAGCGGAACGCCAGCAAAUGGCACGCCCAAGUCACAGACCACUGCGCCCGAGGCAUCCACCUUUAAGGAGGCCAGCAACGAUAACAUCGCAGCUCAAACGUUCACUUUCCGCGAGCUCUCGUCGGCUACCAAAAAUUUCCGCCCUGAGAGUCUUCUCGGCGAAGGCGGGUUCGGAAGAGUUCACAAAGGGCGCCUCGACAAACCCGGUCAGGUUGUGGCUGUGAAGCAACUGGACAGAAGUGGCCUCGAGGGCAACAAAGAAUUCCUCGUUGAGGUUCUAAUGCUCAGUCUCCUCCACCAUCAGAACCUGGUCAGCCUGAUUGGAUACUGCGCGGACGGAGAUCAGAGGAUGUUGGUAUACGAGUACAUGCCUCUUGGCUCCUUAGAAGAUCAUUUGCUCGAGAUCAGUCCGGAUCAAGAACCACUCACUUGGUACACCAGGAUGAAGAUAGCUUUGGGUGCCGCGAAAGGCUUGGAGUACCUGCACCAGAAAGCCAACCCCCCCCGUCAUCUUCCGCGAUCUCAAGUCAUCCAACAUCUUGCUCGACGAGGACUAUGACGCGAAGCUCUCCGACUUCGGGCUCGCCAAGCUUGGCCCUGUGGGAGACGAGCUACAUGUCUCCUCCAGGGUCAUGGACACGUACGGCUACUGCGCGCCGGAGUACGCCAGAACCGGUCAGCUCACCCUGAAGUCCGAUGUGUACAGUUACGGGGUCGUCUUGCUGGAGCUGAUAACAGGGAGGCGAGCCAUCGACACCACCAGACCGACGGACGAACAGAAUCUGGUCACCUGGGCACAACCGAAGUUCAGGGAUCAGAUGAGGUACCGCGAGCUGGUCGAUCCGCUUCUUCGGGGGGAGUACGCCGAGAGAGGGCUGAAUCAGGCUGUCGCCGUGGCGGCUAUGUGCCUGCAGGAGGAGGCUGAGGUGCGCCCGUUCAUGACCGACGUGGUUGCGGCCUUUAGUCAUCUUACGGCAGCAUCGACCGAUAGCGAAGGGAGCAUCGAGAGAAGGGUGGCCGGCGAGGGGAAGCGAGAUGAGAAGAUGGAUGGGGAUCGGCAGCGUGCUGUUGCAGAGGCCAUGGAUUGGGGUUCCGAGUUCAAGGCACGGCCAGAAGAAGUCGAUUCUUAGCUUUCACUGUAGCAAUCGUGUGCAUACGUUCAUGAUUGGCAUCUGUCGCUGCACCAUAUGCAUGCGUUGGGUGACACGAUGCAUUCACGGCUUUUAAGCAUCGAAGUGUGGGUGAUAGAUGUAAGAAUCAGUUGGCGCUCUCCUAACUCUUGUCGAUGACCA